AGAGUUUGAUCAUGGCUCAGGACGAACGCUGGCGGCGUGCCUAAUACAUGCAAGUCGAGCGGACGAAUCGAAAGCUUGCUUUUGAUUCGUUAGCGGCGGACGGGUGAGUAACACGUGGGCAACCUGCCCUGUAGACGGGGAUAACACCGAGAAAUCGGUGCUAAUACCGGAUAACACGAAAUGUCGCAUGACGUUUCGUUGAAAGACGGCGCAAGCUGUCGCUACAGGAUGGGCCCGCGGCGCAUUAGCUAGUUGGUGAGGUAACGGCUCACCAAGGCGACGAUGCGUAGCCGACCUGAGAGGGUGAUCGGCCACACUGGGACUGAGACACGGCCCAGACUCCUACGGGAGGCAGCAGUAGGGAAUCUUCCGCAAUGGACGAAAGUCUGACGGAGCAACGCCGCGUGAGCGAAGAAGGCCUUCGGGUCGUAAAGCUCUGUUGUUAGGGAAGAACAAGUAACGCAGUAACUGGCGUUAUCGUGACGGUACCUAACGAGAAAGCCACGGCUAACUACGUGCCAGCAGCCGCGGUAAUACGUAGGUGGCAAGCGUUGUCCGGAAUUAUUGGGCGUAAAGCGCGCGCAGGCGGUUCCUUAAGUCUGAUGUGAAAGCCCACGGCUCAACCGUGGAGGGUCAUUGGAAACUGGGGGACUUGAGUGCAGAAGAGGAGAGCGGAAUUCCACGUGUAGCGGUGAAAUGCGUAGAGAUGUGGAGGAACACCAGUGGCGAAGGCGGCUCUCUGGUCUGUAACUGACGCUGAGGCGCGAAAGCGUGGGGAGCAAACAGGAUUAGAUACCCUG
rnacentral:rRNA from 1 species